GGCGUGUUCCGGUCCCGGACUGUGCGGAGGAGCCAGACGAGGUAGUGGUGCCAAGGUGUGUGCCCCACGGUCAAGGUCAGAGCAGCUGCUUUCAGGUUCAGCCCAACAAAAGGAUGAAAGGGAGCGAGGCUGGUUCCAGGUGAGAAACUUCGGGGCCACUCCUCCGGCCAGGCUCAAGGUACUUGCUCAACGCCUCUGGGCCCACCUGCCUGCAGCCCCAGUGGCCGUGGGCUGAGGAGAACAGCCAGCAGGUACACUGCAGGACAGAGGGGAGGCCAAAGCCAUUCACUCUCUCGGAGCCCCAGCUGCUGGGAAGAUGCGUCAGCAGACUUAACCCUCCAACAGCGCCCAACACAACUGACCGCUCCUUUUCUUCUUGAAACGUUUUCUGCCUUUGGAUUCAAGACACAACCAGCCCAUGGUUUCCUCCUGUCCCUAAAGAUACUCUGCUCUCUCUCUUUUGCUGGCACAUCCUCGCCCACCCAGCCAACCACCGGGAGAGCCGCGGCACCCACCCCGGGUCCUCCUCUCUUACUGAGCUCUAACUCAAGGGGUCUUGCGCAGUCUCAGCCCUACCGCCAAUGUGUCGCUGACUCACAGAUUCAUGUCUCCAGCCCGGAGGGAGAGCCCCCAACCCUUGUACCCAAGGCCGUCGUGUCCUAAACAGACCCCCUAACGCCUCAAGCACACCUGGCCCUCUUCCUGGAUCUGCCAUCUCGGGAGGCACCAGUAGCAUCCACUUCACAAAACAGAAGCCUGGUUUUCAACCCUUCCUUUCCCUCAUGCCCCUGUUGAGUCUGUCACCUGUGCCAUCGACUUCAGUCCCUGGUUAUCACUCAAACUGACCCACUUCUAGGCACCCCCGCUGGCAUCGGCUUCACCUCUUCCCUGUGCAAUGCAACCAUGCUCGCCACUUGCCACGUGCCCACUCCUGGCCCCUCCACCCCCUCUGCCCACAGCAGCACGAGUCCUCUUUAAACACACGGAUCACACCACCUUCUGCUUCACACGCUCCAACAGCAGCGUCCCAAGGCUCUUGGGAGAAAGACGUUAACAUGGCUCCUUAUGGCCUUUCCUCCUUUGUCUCAGCCACACUGGUAGUGCCACCCACCUCCACACAGUUUUGCACAGGCUCCUGCUCUGCCCAGAAGGCCCUCACCCC
rnacentral:lncRNA from 1 species